AGUGAACGCUGGCGGUAGGCCUAACACAUGCAAGUCGAACGGCAGCACAGAGGAGCUUGCUCCUUGGGUGGCGAGUGGCGGACGGGUGAGGAAUACAUCGGAAUCUACUCUGUCGUGGGGGAUAACGUAGGGAAACUUACGCUAAUACCGCAUACGACCUACGGGUGAAAGCAGGGGACCUUCGGGCCUUGCGCGAUUGAAUGAGCGGAUGUCGGAUUCGCUAGUUGGCGGGGUAAAGGCCCACCAAGGCGACGAUCCGUAGCUGGUCUGAGAGGAUGAUCAGCCACACUGGAACUGAGACACGGUCCAGACUCCGACGGGAGGCAGCAGUGGGGAAUAUUGGACAAUGGGCGCAAGCCUGAUCCAGCCAUACCGCGUGGGUGAAGAAGGCCUUCGGGUUGUAAAGCCCUUUUGUUGGGGAAGAAAUCCAGCUGGCUAAUACCCGGUUGGGAUGACGGUACCCAAAGAAUAAGCACCGGCUAACUUCGUGCCAGCCGCCGCAGUAA
rnacentral:rRNA from 1 species